rfam:Gossypium arboreum cultivar AKA8401 contig_8209_1, whole genome shotgun sequence.
UAUUAAAAAUUUCAUCAAUUUGUAUUGUUAAAAACCAGUAUAGUUGACGGAAUAACCAGAAAGUGACACGUGUACAGGAACCAUUUUUUAACAAUGGAAAUAGAUAAAAUUUUUAAUA